GUCCGCUGUUCCUCCUUUGGAAAGUUGGCAGUUUCCCUCCAGACCGGAACUAGCAACAGCCGCCGCCGCCGCUCGGUCAGCGUUACAAACACAGAAAAGUGGUUGAAAAUGAAUCCGAGGCGGUUAAACUCUCGUCGUUUCGUUGUCGCUCCGGUUCCACUGUCCCGCUGGGUGGACACAUUCUCCGUGGGAUCGAUACAAAUCCAAAUAAAUAAAAAUACGUCCGCUCCAGUUCACCAGCCGCUCCGACCGUCGAACCGGAAGUCCUGGAAGCCAGUGACGUCAACGAGUCAAAACUUGCUCGUGAUAAAGGAAAGACGGAUUCCUGGUUCUGCCUGUUUGUGAGACUUUCAUCACGUGACAUGAGGAAUGGACCAGAACUGAAGUAAAUGACUGGGAGGAGACGGAGGAAGGAAACCCAAAAGGUUUGACCCAAGUCAGACAUGACAGUUAUCCCCGAUACUGACCAGAUGGAGCAGAAACGUCUCAGCUGAAAUGGUGGAUUUACAGCCAAAGUUUUCACAGACUUUAGAGAUUCCUCCCUGUGACCCAGUUC